UACGUAGGGUGCGAGCGUUGUCCGGAAUUAUUGGGCGUAAAGAGCUCGUAGGCGGUCUGUCGCGUCUGCUGUGAAAACUCGGGGCUUAACCCCGGGCCUGCAGUGGGUACGGGCAGACUAGAGUGCGGUAGGGGAGACUGGAAUUCCUGGUGUAGCGGUGAAAUGCGCAGAUAUCAGGAGGAACACCGGUGGCGAAGGCGGGCCUCUGGGCCGUAACUGACGCUGAGGAGCGAAAGCGUGGGGAGCGAACAGG
rnacentral:rRNA from 1 species